GACGAACGCUGGCGGCGUGCUUAACACAUGCAAGUCGAACGGAAAGGCCUUGCUUUUGUGGGGUGCUCGAGUGGCGAACGGGUGAGUAACACGUGUGUAACCUGCCCUUGACUUUGGGAUAACUUCAGGAAACUGGGGCUAAUACCGGAUAGGAGCUCCUGCUGCAUGGUGGGGGUUGGAAAGUUUCGGCGGUUGGGGAUGGACUCGCGGCUUAUCAGCUUGUUGGUGGGGUAGUGGCUUACCAAGGCUUUGACGGGUAGCCGGCCUGAGAGGGUGACCGGCCACAUUGGGACUGAGAUACGGCCCAGACUCCUACGGGAGGCAGCAGUGGGGAAUAUUGCACAAUGGGCGGAAGCCUGAUGCAGCAACGCCGCGUGCGGGAUGACGGCCUUCGGGUUGUAAACCGCUUUCGCCUGUGACGAAGCGUGAGUGACGGUAAUGGGUAAAGAAGCACCAGCUAACUACGUG
rnacentral:rRNA from 1 species